CUACGGGAGACAGCAGUGGGGAAUAUUGCACAAUGGGGGAAACCCUGAUGCAGCAACGCCGCGUGAGUGAUGACGGCCUUCGGGUUGUAAAGCUCUGUCUUUGGGGACGAUAAUGACGGUACCCAAGGAGGAAGUCACGGCUAACUACGUGCCAGCAGCCGCGGUAAUACGUAGGUGACAAGCGUUAUCCGGAUUUACUGGGCGUAAAGGGAGCGUAGGCGGAUAAUUAAGUGGGAUGUGAAAUACCCGGGCUCAACCUGGGUGCUGCAUUCCAAACUGGUUAUCUAGAGUGCAGGAGAGGAGAGUGGAAUUCCUAGUGUAGCGGUGAAAUGCGUAGAGAUUAGGAAGAACACCAGUGGCGAAGGCGACUCUCUGGACUGUAACUGACGCUGAGGCUCGAAAGCGUGGGGAGCAAACAGGAUUAGAUACCCGGGUAGUC
rnacentral:rRNA from 1 species